rnacentral:rRNA from 1 species
UCAUUUAAAGAAAGCGUAAUAGCUCACUGGUCGAGUCGGCCUGCGCGGAAGAUGUAACGGGGCUAAACCAUGCACCGAAGCUGCGGCAGCGACACUGUGUGUUGUUGGGUAGGGGAGCGUUCUGUAAGCCUGUGAAGGUGGCCUGUGAGGGUUGCUGGAGGUAUCAGAAGUGCGAAUGCUGACAUAAGUAACGAUAAAGCGGGUGAAAAGCCCGCUCGCCGGAAGACCAAGGGUUCCUGUCCAACGUUAAUCGGGGCAGGGUGAGUCGACCCCUAAGGCGAGGCCGAAAGGCGUAGUCGAUGGGAAACGGGUUAAUAUUCCCGUACUUGGUGUUACUGCGAAGGGGGGACGGAGAAGGCUAUGUUGGCCGGGCGACGGUUGUCCCGGUUUAAGCGUGUAGGCUGACUUUCCAGGCAAAUCCGGAGAGUCAAGGCUGAGGCGUGACGACGAGGCACCUACGGUGCUGAAGCAACAAAUGCCCUGCUUCCAGGAAAAGCCUCUAAGCAUCAGGUAACAUCAAAUCGUACCCCAAACCGACACAGGUGGUCAGGUAGAGAAUACCAAGGCGCUUGAGAGAACUCGGGUGAAGGAACUAGGCAAAAUGGUGCCGUAACUUCGGGAGAAGGCACGCUGACACGUAGGUGAAGUGGAUUUACUCAUGGAGCUGAAGUCAGUCGAAGAUACCAGCUGGCUGCAACUGUUUAUUAAAAACACAGCACUGUGCAAACACGAAAGUGGACGUAUACGGUGUGACGCCUGCCCGGUGCCGGAAGGUUAAUUGAUGGGGUCAGCGCAAGCGAAGCUCCUGAUCGAAGCCCCGGUAAACGGCGGCCGUAACUAUAACGGUCCUAAGGUAGCGAAAUUCCUUGUCGGGUAAGUUCCGACCUGCACGAAUGGCGUAAUGAUGGCCAGGCUGUCUCCACCCGAGACUCAGUGAAAUUGAACUCGCUGUGAAGAUGCAGUGUACCCGCGGCAAGACGGAAAGACCCCGUGAACCUUUACUAUAGCUUGACACUGAACAUUGAGCCUUGAUGUGUAGGAUAGGUGGGAGGCUUUGAAGCGUGGACGCCAGUCUGCGUGGAGCCGGACCUUGAAAUACCACCCUUUAAUGUUUGAUGUUCUAACGUGGACCCGUGAUCCGGGUUGCGGACAGUGUCUGGUGGGUAGUUUGACUGGGGCGGUCUCCUCCUAAAGAGUAACGGAGGAGCACGAAGGUUGGCUAAUCCUGGUCGGACAUCAGGAGGUUAGUGCAAUGGCAUAAGCCAGCUUGACUGCGAGCGUGACGGCGCGAGCAGGUGCGAAAGCAGGUCAUAGUGAUCCGGUGGUUCUGAAUGGAAGGGCCAUCGCUCAACGGAUAAAAGGUACUCCGGGGAUAACAGGCUGAUACCGCCCAAGAGUUCAUAUCGACGGCGGUGUUUGGCACCUCGAUGUCGGCUCAUCACAUCCUGGGGCUGAAGUAGGUCCCAAGGGUAUGGCUGUUCGCCAUUUAAAGUGGUACGCGAGCUGGGUUUAGAACGUCGUGAGACAGUUCGGUCCCUAUCUGCCGUGGGCGCUGGAGAACUGAGGGGGGCUGCUCCUAGUACGAGAGGACCGGAGUGGACGCAUCACUGGUGUUCGGGUUGUCAUGCCAAUGGCACUGCCCGGUAGCUAAAUGCGGAAGAGAUAAGUGCUGAAAGCAUCUAAGCACGAAACUUGCCCCGAGAUGAGUUCUUCCCUGAGACUUUGA